rnacentral:rRNA from 1 species
AGCAGCAGCCGCGGGAAUACGUAGGGUGCAAGCGUUAAUCGGAAUUACUGGGCGUAAAGCGUGCGCAGGCGGUUCGUUAAGACAGAUGUGAAAUCCCCGGGCUUAACCUGGGAACUGCAUUUGUGACUGGCGGGCUAGAGUAUGGCAGAGGGGGGUAGAAUUCCACGUGUAGCAGUGAAAUGCGUAGAGAUGUGGAGGAAUACCGAUGGCGAAGGCAGCCCCCUGGGCCAAUACUGACGCUCAUGCACGAAAGCGUGGGGAGCAAACAGGAUUAGAUACCCGGGUAGUCCCUGUCUCUUAACA